rnacentral:sRNA from 1 species
CCAGUCAGUAUUCGUUCGGGUCUCAAUCGGGCAAGUUGUCUAAUUUUCUAUUUAUUUUUAUUUAGAAAUUUUUGUAUAAAAAUGUAUUAAAAAUUAACCAAAAUAAAAAUUAUAAGGAAGUGUAUUAGGGCGGCCAACGGUGUUGUUGUUAGCCAGGAUCUGGAAGAAGAACAACAACACCAACGGCCGCCCGUCCGUCCUUGGAGGCAGGGAAGCGAUGCUGCAGCUGCCGAGAAAGGAUGGGACACAUGGUGGUGGGAGGGGCAUGGUGCUGACUGCACCUAUUUGGAAGAAAAGCAUGCCCCUCCAAGUGAAGGAUCAAGAAGCAGGACACCCACAACCCACAAAUCCAAUAGGAGGGGCACGCUCCGACUGCACCUACUUGAACGAAUAGCGUGCCCCUCCUCGGAUGGUAUUCCGAGGGAGGUAGCGACUGACUCCGCCUAUUUGAACGUAAUACGCCCCCUCCAGUCGGAGGAGCCAUCCCCACCAGGAACCAAAACCACACGAGCGAAGAACCCAUCGGAGGGGCACGUGCUGACUGCACCUAUGGAACUGAAAAGUGCCUCUCCGAUCGGAGGAUGCAGCAGGAUAAACUAUGGUCCUGGAUAUACAGGACACCCACAAAAGAAGAGACCUUCCAGGAUCCAGGAUCUUCCAGGAUAAACUAUUCAAGACUCUAUGAGGAGGAUACCCCAUAGGAGGGGCACGUGCUGACUGCACCUAUGGAACUGAAAAGUGCCCCUCCGAACGGAGGAUCUAUAAGGAUAAGCUAUAGUCCUGGAUAUACAAGGAUAUACUACUACAUACAAGACACCCACAAAAGGAAGACCAUCGGAGGGGCACAAAAUCCAAAUUUUGAACGUAUUUAAGAAGAAUCUAGUCUAGUGGACUAAAGUGCCCCUCCGAUGGGAGGAUCCAACUACACAGACAUCAAACACUACCUGAAGAAGCGACGUCAUUGUCCUCGGCCUGGGCCCAGACUCAGAGGCUGUUUCUUCAAAGAGAUCAUGGGCAGAACUACAAGGAUGAUGGGGACCAAGA